UCGGAAUAAAUUGUAUAUUAUGCAGAUGUGGAUAUUUUAAGCAUCUUGUUGCUUCUGAAUCUGAAGGAAUCAACGCCCAAAUUGGUUAGUAUAGGGUGUAAACAGUGUUUGGUGGUGGUUAGUUUUGUUUGAAACUAACUCUAGGCUGAGUAAAUGGGUUUAUUUGACUCUACUUAGUUUACUUUUUGCAAUAUGGCUGUGGGUCUAUGGUGUGUCAAUUGAACACUUUAACCACAAGGCUACCCCACUGCCCCAAACAACAGAACGGAAAUAAAGCCGUGUCAUUUGAUUGGCUCAAGAACCCAUGCUCCCUUCAUUUCACUGGACAGUAGAAGUUUGCUAAUGCCCACCUGAUGCAACCAUCUAUAGAAUGGUUCUCAGAUCAUAAUUUGAUUUCAGUGACAUUGCCAAAUACCAUAAACACAAUAUUUAUAGUAAUAUUCCACACAAUUCCAUUUUAGGAAUGUCGAUAUGACAUUCCGUAACAGAUCUGAAACAUUUGUUUGUACUUUUAGUGAUUUGGGGGUAAUACAUAGAACCAGUCUGAUAUACAGACAAGGCUUUUAGACCUGUUGUCAUUGUGAUGUUUCCAAAUGUUGCAGAGUGUAGAAAAAUAUCACUGCGAUUCUUGAUUAUGAUUAAUUUAUUUUAAUGACAUUGGUAAUCAUGGUACAAGAUGUUGUUUUUAAAGGUUUAAACAUGAUGGAAAAGUUACGGUUUAUUCUACAUAUAUACAGAAGUGUUCUUACCGUUCUCUAUGUGUAAUGUGUGACUUGUUGUUAUGUAGGUGUAUCUAGCAAAGUAGAAUGCAAUGCAGUGAACAAAUAUAUUUUUCAUUUGCAAAAUAAAUGAUCUGUUAAAGUUUUCCGUUUAGCAUCAGUUAUUUAGAAAAUUUAAAAUCGUGUAUAUAGAGAAUUCAAAAUGUCUUUUAAUAUGAAAUAUAUUAAUAUGAGUCGAUGAGGAUUUGAAACUCCGAGACCUGAUGAGGAUUGUUUAAGCAUUUCAAAAUAAGUGUUGAUAUAUUUGAUAUCAAAAUACAUGAGUGAUUUUCUAUUUAUCAUCCAAAUUCAUUCUUCCAACUUUUCAGUUUGUAAACAGUAAUACGCAGUGUUUUGAGUGUAAAAAGAACAGAUAACCUGUUUCAGCGGCAGAGAGGUUAGUGAUGUCAUUUGAUUGUGACAUCAAGGUGAACAAUGACAUCACAAUCAUGUGCAAAGCAUUGUGAUAAAGUUUUGAUUGUUGCGAUAUAUCUUCCAGGAGAUCGCAUCUCACCCAAGCCAUAUCUAAAGAGGAAACCAGUUUGGGAUGACAAGAGUCCCUCUGGAUUUGGGCUUAAAAGUUAAUUUGAUGUUGUCAGCCUCUCCCUAUAGCAGAAAAUCAAUUUUGUUUGAACUGUGACAUGAAACAACAUUCCUUUUUCUAAAUGUUUUACCCUCAAAAUGAUUCCCCAAUAAACAAUGAUGGCAGACUGGUUGUGAAACUGUUGAGACAUAUUACCUUUUCAUAAUUUGGUGUUUUGAUGUGAUUAUUUACAUACCAACUGCAAAAAUCUCACUGUAUUCUUACAUGAUUUACACAUACUUUGGUUAUUUGUUGAUAUUUUCUAUUGUUUUGUACUAAAUAAAUCAAUAAACAUAUCUACUAACACUG